rnacentral:rRNA from 1 species
UUAAGCGACUAAGCGUACACGGUGGAUGCCCUGGCAGUCAGAGGCGAUGAAGGACGUGCUAAUCUGCGAUAAGCGUCGGUAAGGUGAUAUGAACCGUUAUAACCGGCGAUUUCCGAAUGGGGAAACCCAGUGUGWUUCGWCACACUAUCAUUAACUGAAUCCAUAGGUUAAUGAGGCGAACCGGGGGAACUGAAACAUCUAAGUACCCCGAGGAAAAGAAAUCAACCGAGAUUCCCCCAGUAGCGGCGAGCGAACGGGGAGSAGCCCAGAGCCUGAAUCAGUGUGUGUGUUAGUGGAAGCGUCUGGAAAGGCGCGCGAUACAGGGUGACAGCCCCGUACACAAAAAUGCACAURCUGUGAGCUCGAUGAGUAGGGCGGGACACGUGGUAUCCUGUCUGAAUAUGGGGGGACCAUCCUCCAAGGCUAAAUACUCCUGACUGACCGAUAGUGAACCAGUACCGUGAGGGAAAGGCGAAAAGAACCCCGGCGAGGGGAGUGAAAAAGAACCUGAAACCGUGUACGUACAAGCAGUGGGAGCACGCUUAGGCGUGUGACUGCGUACCUUUUGUAUAAUGGGUCAGCGACUUAUAUUCUGUAGCAAGGUUAACCGAAUAGGGGAGCCGAAGGGAAACCGAGUCUUAACUGGGCGUUAAGUUGCAGGGUAUAGACCCGAAACCCGGUGAUCUAGCCAUGGGCAGGUUGAAGGUUGGGUAACACUAACUGGAGGACCGAACCGACUAAUGUUGAAAAAUUAGCGGAUGACUUGUGGCUGGGGGUGAAAGGCCAAUCAAACCGGGAGAUAGCUGGUUCUCCCCGAAAGCUAUUUAGGUAGCGCCUCGUGAAUUCAUCUCCGGGGGUAGAGCACUGUUUCGGCAAGGGGGUCAUCCCGACUUACCAACCCGAUGCAAACUGCGAAUACCGGAGAAUGUUAUCACGGGAGACACACGGCGGGUGCUAACGUCCGUCGUGAAGAGGGAAACAACCCAGACCGCCAGCUAAGGUCCCAAAGUCAUGGUUAAGUGGGAAACGAUGUGGGAAGGCCCAGACAGCCAGGAUGUUGGCUUAGAAGCAGCCAUCAUUUAAAGAAAGCGUAAUAGCUCACUGGUCGAGUCGGCCUGCGCGGAAGAUGUAACGGGGCUAAACCAUGCACCGAAGCUGCGGCAGCGACGCUKAUGCGUUGUUGGGUAGGGGAGCGUUCUGUAAGCCUGUGAAGGUGUGCUGUGAGGCAUGCUGGAGGUAUCAGAAGUGCGAAUGCUGACAUAAGUAACGAUAAAGCGGGUGAAAAGCCCGCUCGCCGGAAGACCAAGGGUUCCUGUCCAACGUUAAUCGGGGCAGGGUGAGUCGACCCCUAAGGCGAGGCCGAAAGGCGUAGUCGAUGGGAAACAGGUUAAUAUUCCUGUACUUGGUGUUACUGCGAAGGGGGGACGGAGAAGGCUAUGUUGGCCGGGCGACGGUUGUCCCGGUUUAAGCGUGUAGGCUGGUUUUCCAGGCAAAUCCGGAAAAUCAAGGCUGAGGCGUGAUGACGAGGCACUACGGUGCUGAAGCAACAAAUGCCCUGCUUCCAGGAAAAGCCUCUAAGCAUCAGGUAACAUCAAAUCGUACCCCAAACCGACACAGGUGGUCAGGUAGAGAAUACCAAGGCGCUUGAGAGAACUCGGGUGAAGGAACUAGGCAAAAUGGUGCCGUAACUUCGGGAGAAGGCACGCUGAUAUGUAGGUGAAGUCCCUCGCGGAUGGAGCUGAAAUCAGUCGAAGAUACCAGCUGGCUGCAACUGUUUAUUAAAAACACAGCACUGUGCAAACACGAAAGUGGACGUAUACGGUGUGACGCCUGCCCGGUGCCGGAAGGUUAAUUGAUGGGGUCAGCGCAAGCGAAGCUCUUGAUCGAAGCCCCGGUAAACGGCGGCCGUAACUAUAACGGUCCUAAGGUAGCGAAAUUCCUUGUCGGGUAAGUUCCGACCUGCACGAAUGGCGUAAUGAUGGCCAGGCUGUCUCCACCCGAGACUCAGUGAAAUUGAACUCGCUGUGAAGAUGCAGUGUACCCGCGGCAAGACGGAAAGACCCCGUGAACCUUUACUAUAGCUUGACACUGAACAUUGAGCCUUGAUGUGUAGGAUAGGUGGGAGGCUUAGAAGUGUGGACGCCAGUCUGCAUGGAGCCGACCUUGAAAUACCACCCUUUAAUGUUUGAUGUUCUAACGUUGACCCGUAAUCCGGGUUGCGGACAGUGUCUGGUGGGUAGUUUGACUGGGGCGGUCUCCUCCUAAAGAGUAACGGAGGAGCACGAAGGUUGGCUAAUCCUGGUCGGACAUCAGGAGGUUAGUGCAAUGGCAUAAGCCAGCUUGACUGCGAGCGUGACGGCGCGAGCAGGUGCGAAAGCAGGUCAUAGUGAUCCGGUGGUUCUGAAUGGAAGGGCCAUCGCUCAACGGAUAAAAGGUACUCCGGGGAUAACAGGCUGAUACCGCCCAAGAGUUCAUAUCGACGGCGGUGUUUGGCACCUCGAUGUCGGCUCAUCACAUCCUGGGGCUGAAGUAGGUCCCAAGGGUAUGGCUGUUCGCCAUUUAAAGUGGUACGCGAGCUGGGUUUAGAACGUCGUGAGACAGUUCGGUCCCUAUCUGCCGUGGGCGCUGGAGAACUGAGGGGGGCUGCUCCUAGUACGAGAGGACCGGAGUGGACGCAUCACUGGUGUUCGGGUUGUCAUGCCAAUGGCACUGCCCGGUAGCUAAAUGCGGAAGAGAUAAGUGCUGAAAGCAUCUAAGCACGAAACUUGCCCCGAGAUGAGUUCUCCCUGACYCYUURAGRGUCCUGAAGGAACGUUGAAGACGACGACGUUGAUAGGCCGGGUGUGUAAGCGCAGCGAUGCGUUGAGCUAACCGGUACUAAUGAACCGUGAGGCUUAACCUU